CCUACGGGUGGCAGCAGUGAGGAAUAUUGGUCAAUGGGCGGAAGCCUGAACCAGCCAAGUAGCGUGCAGGAUGACGGCCCUACGGGUUGUAAACUGCUUUUAUACGGGAAUAACGCGCCUUACGUGUAGGGCUUUGCAUGUACCGUAUGAAUAAGGACCGGCUAAUUCCGUGCCAGCAGCCGCGGUAAUACGGAAGGUCCGGGCGUUAUCCGGAUUUAUUGGGUUUAAAGGGUGCGCAGGCGGAGGUGCAAGUCAGCGGUCAAAUUGCGGGGCUCAACCCCGUACUGCCGUUGAAACUGCAUCCCUUGAGUGCGCGAGAAGUAUGCGGAAUGCGUGGUGUAGCGGUGAAAUGCAUAGAUAUCACGCAGAACUCCGAUUGCGAAGGCAGCAUACCGGCGCGCAACUGACGCUCAUGCACGAAAGCGUGGGUAUCGAACAGGAUUAGAUACCCGGGUAGUC
rnacentral:rRNA from 1 species